UACGUAGGGCGCAAGCGUUAUCCGGAAUUAUUGGGCGUAAAGAGCUUGUAGGCGGUUCGUCGCGUCUGGUGUGAAAGCCCAUCGCUUAACGGUGGGUUUGCGCCGGGUACGGGCGGGCUAGAGUGCAGUAGGGGAGACUGGAAUUCCCGGUGUAACGGUGGAAUGUGUAGAUAUCGGGAAGAACACCAAUGGCGAAGGCAGGUUUCUGGGCUGUUACUGACGCUGAGAAGCGAAAGCGUGGGGAGCGAACAGGAUUAGAUACCCUGGUAGUCAAGGGCGAAUUCGUU
rnacentral:rRNA from 1 species